rnacentral:rRNA from 1 species
UACGUAGGUGACGAGCGUUGUCCGGAUUUACUGGGCGUAAGAGCGCGCAGGCGGUCGAUCAAGUCGAGUGUGAAAGCCCCCGGCUCAACUGGGGAGGGUCAUUCGAUACUGAUCGACUCGAAGGCAGGAGAGGAUAGCGGAAUUCCCGGUGUAGUGGUGAAAUGCGUAGAUAUCGGGAGGAACACCAGUGGCGAAGGCGGCUAUCUGGGCUGAAACUGACGCUGAGGCGCGAAGGCUAGGGGAGCAAACAGG